UGGGGAAUAUUGGACAAUGGGGGCAACCCUGAUCCAGCAAUGCCGCGUGUGUGAAGAAGGUCUUCGGAUUGUAAAGCACUUUCGACGGGGACGAUGAUGACGGUACCCGUAGAAGAAGCCCCGGCUAACUUCGUGCCAGCAGCCGCGGUAAUACGAGGGGGCUAGCGUUGCUCGGAAUGACUGGGCGUAAAGGGCGUGUAGGCGGUUUACACAGUCAGAUGUGAAAUCCCCGGGCUUAACCUGGGAGCUGCAUUUGAUACGUGUAGACUAGAGUGUGAGAGAGGGUUGUGGAAUUCCCAGUGUAGAGGUGAAAUUCGUAGAUAUUGGGAAGAACACCGGUGGCGAAGGCGGCAACCUGGCUCAUGACUGACGCUGAGGCGCGAAAGCGUGGGGAGCAAACAGGAUUAGAUACCCUGGUAGUCCACGCUGUAAACGAUGUGUGCUAGAUGUUGGGUACU
rnacentral:rRNA from 1 species